CAGUAGCCGCGGUAACACCGAGGGUGCGAGCGUUAAUCGGAUUUACUGGGCGUAAAGCGUGCGUAGGCGGCUUUUUAAGUCGGAUGUGAAAUCCCUGAGCUUAACUUAGGAAUUGCAUUCGAUACUGGGAAGCUAGAGUAUGGGAGAGGAUGGUAGAAUUCCAGGUGUAGCGGUGAAAUGCGUAGAGAUCUGGAGGAAUACCGAUGGCGAAGGCAGCCAUCUGGCCUAAUACUGACGCUGAGGUACGAAAGCAUGGGGAGCAAACAGGAUUAGAUACCCCUGUAGUCCCUGUCUCUUAUAC
rnacentral:rRNA from 1 species